rnacentral:rRNA from 1 species
AUUGAACGCUGGCGGCAGGCCUAACACAUGCAAGUCGAGCGGCAGCACGGGUACUUGUACCUGGUGGCGAGCGGCGGACGGGUGAGUAAUGCCUAGGAAUCUGCCUAGUAGUGGGGGAUAACGUUCGGAACGGACGCUAAUACCGCAUACGUCCUACGGGAGAAAGUAGGGGAGUCUUCGGACCUCACGCUAUUAGAUGAGCCUAGGUCGGAUUAGCUAGUUGGUAGGGUAAAGGCCACCAAGGCUACGAUCCGUAACUGGUCUGAGAGGAUGAUCAGUCACACUGGAACUGAGACACGGUCCAGACUCCUACGGGAGGCAGCAGUGGGGAAUAUUGGACAAUGGGCGAAAGCCUGAUCCAGCCAUGCCGCGUGUGUGAAGAAGGUCUUCGGAUUGUAAAGCACUUUAAGUUGGGAGGAAGGGCAGUAAGCUAAUAUCUUGC